GCUCUGCCUCAUCCUCACUCUAGGACCCAGGCUGCGCGGGCAGCUGCUGUCUGAGCAUUGCUGAUUGCCAUGGCAGAGGGAAAGAAAAAAGAAAAAAAUUGCAAGCUAGGCCUAAAAACUUUGGUCCAGAUGUACAUGGUUAUUGAGAGCACACGGAGACAGAGAAGACCCCGCGAAGACAGCAGCAGAGCCUGGAGUGAUGCAGCUCAAGUUAAGGAAUGCCAAAGGCUGCCAGGCUAGGAAGGCAGCAGUCUUCUCAGGAGCCUUUGGAGAGGGCGUGGCCCUCAGAAUAGUGAGAGAAUAAACUUCUCUUGUUUUAAGCCUUCUGUUUAUGGUAAUUUGCUAUGGUCAUCCUAGGAAACUAACAUACCGGCCUGAGUGAGUCCCACUGCCAUACCCGAUUUCAACGGCACAGGGAAGGACAGUCUCACAGUGCUGGAUAGUCUCUCUCAGAUCCACCCUCUACCUUUCUAUACUCUGCUCUGAGCCUGGAAAGUUAAAAUUCAAGAACUGCAUAAACAGACUCCCCUUUCCUCUGGCUCCUGGUUAAGAUUUGCCAAUAGUGGGAGUUCAGAGGGAGUGAGGAGAGUGAAGUCAUCUAGUUUGCCACCUACUUCCCUGCCAGGCUGGUUGUAGCGGUGUUCCACUAUGGAAGGCCACAGCUCCAGCCAGGCAGCUCCUCCUUCAGUUUCUCCUUUCUCUCGGGGUUCUAGUAACUUGUUUCUUCCCCAUGCUCCUCUAGGCGCGGGGUGCAACAGCUGUUGUUAGCCAACGUGCUCUGUCAUUCCUGGUUGGUUUCCCAUUGCCCCACUCACAGCCUUGUAAACAGUCCUUUUAUUAAUCUCUUCUCAAUAACUUCAUUUGAGCAUGCCAUCUGUUUUCUGCUGAGACCCAGCAGACACACAUACCAUGCACCCAGGAGGAGCCUUAGAAAUCUUUGGUGGACACAGUGACGACCUUGCUAAAUUGAGAAGCAGCUCUAGUGAAACAAUCGUGGGAAAUGCAAUGAGAGUGGCAGGUCAAACAAUGGCUUUGCUUCCACCCCUCCCUCUCUGACAGAGGAAGAAGUGUGAGCUCUGAAGCAAGAUUCAAACUCUGGCUUCCCCGUUUAUCAGCUGUAAUAGGAACCUCUCUGAACCUCAGCUACUAUACGUGUAUCGUGGGUAUAACAAUGCUUCCUUUACAAGGCUGUUAUGUGGAUUAUGGGAGAAAAAUAUGAAAAGAACCUAGCUAUGAUAGGCAGAAUAAUGUCCCCCAAAGAUUUCCAAGCCCUAAUCUCUGGGAACUUGUGAAUACGUUACUUUACAUGGCAAGAGAGACAAUGUGGAUAUGAUUGAGAUUACAGACCUUAAAAUAGGAAGAUUAUCGUGGAUUAUCAAGGGGGCCCCAUCUAAUCACUUGAGCACUUAAAAGCAGAAGUGGAAGGCAGAAGAGUUUGUCAUAGAGACGCAGCACAAGAAGCAGAGACAGAAGAAAUCCAGGGUGAGAAGAAUUUAAUAUGCCAUUCCUAGCUCUGGGGGUGCAGAGACUACCUACAAUGACUCAAAAGAGGCCUCUAAAUACCAAGGGAGAUGCCCAGAUGGCAACCAGCAAGGAAACAGACCUCAAUCCUACAGACAGUGAUUUCUGCCCACUACCUGGAUUAACCUGGAAAUGGACUCUCCCCUAGAGCCUCCGGAAGGGAAAGCGGCUCAGCGAAUGCCUUGAUGUCAGUCUUGUGAGACUUGAAACAGAGAAACCAUCUGAGCCUACUGGACUUCUGACCUACAGAACUGUGAGAUAAUAAAUGGGUGCUGUUUUAAGCCCCUAAAUUGGUAGUAAUUUGUUAUACUAGCAAUCGAAAGUAAAUCCACUAGCACAGCGCAGUCUUGGUGCAUGCUCUAUGCCCACUGCACGUAUGUUACAGGCUCUCAAAGAGGAGAGGUAGGCAAGAUACAAAGGGGUCUUCUCAGGACUCAAAACAGUACGUGCUCUCAAAGAAAUAAGCCUGCUGCGAUUUUACAAUGUAACAUAGAAGCUGGCUUUCUCUGGUGCUUUCAAGCUGUCAUGAAUAUGGGUGCCCUACAUGAGUGGCCUCCAGCAGCAACCGCAGAGGGAGGAGUAGAGAAUGUUGUGCAUCUUGUGGCAAAAGCAAAUGAAUCCUUGUUAUUCAUUUGACAUGCAGAGAAAAACACAUACCAGAUCACGUUAUCAUCUCUGUAGCAGGAUAUCCCUUACCUAAAACCCUCAGUCCUAUUAUCUCCUACCUUGAGGCAGUUCCUGCUUCUAAUAUUUGCCCCUAACUGAAACACAGGCUAGCAAGAAAAUGAUUUCCUGCUGCUGGAGGCUUCCUUCCGUUCUCCUAGGCCAAAUCCAUCUCUCCAACCCCACAAUCCCAUACCAAUAUCUUCCAGCUCCCUAACCAUCCAAAUCUAACCCUUGACCAGACAGCACAGACCUUCGUUGCUCUGCUGCUUUAUUUGAUGACUGGGGCUCCUAUGCUUUUAUAGCUGGGUCAAGUUGAAAUAGCAUCCUAGGAGACUGGGCUCUGAGCCAGGUAUCAGAGACAUGGGUCCCUCAGCAUUGAGUCGCCAAGAAAUGUGAAGAAAAAGCAAAUUAAGGGCUACCCACUAGGCAUAGACAUGCGCAUCUAGCUUCAAUGAAAAUUGUUGACACUUUUCCAACUCAAAGUGCUCCUUCAAUGCUCCUGAGCAGCAAUUGGUGAUUCUUUUGAUAAUAUUUUCACUGCCCUUCUUGGAGACCAAUCUCACGACAUAAGAUGAUUAUUAAAAUAAGGGCUAAUAUUUAUUGUGUGCCUACUGUGCCUCGGGCACUGCUCUACAUAACUGUAAAGGUGUUAACUCAUUAAAUUCUCAAGCCAUG
rnacentral:lncRNA from 1 species